UAAAAAGUGUUCAAUUUUUGAUAUUGAUUGAUCACCAAGAAAAACAACACUAAUCAAAAAGCUAUCUUCUUUCAAAAUCUUUACAAGUUGAGCUUCAAUUAUGGCUACCCUUAACACCAUCUCUUCCCAUAAACUCUCUAAAUCCAUCACACAAACACAAUUCUAUCAACCCAAAUCAUCAAAAAGAUUACCCAUUUUGACCAAUAACAGAAAGAAAUUUGCAAUUGGGUCCAUCACAGAGGACAGAGAAGUGGUUCCUAUAAGAAAUAAAAAAACUUCAAAGAACCAAAAUUUAUUAGUUGAUGGGCCUAAAGAUAUUGAGGGUCUUGUGUCUUCUUCUUCAAUUGAAGAGAAAAAAGAAGACGAUGGUAAUGACAAAGAUAAGUUAAUGACUAGAGCAAUUAAUGCUAGUAUUGUUUUGGGGUUUGGGACUGUUGCUGUUAGUAAGCUGCUCACUAUUGAUCAUGAUUAUUGGCAUGGAUGGACCCUUUACGAGAUACUAAGGUAUGUACCUGAACACAAUUGGAUUGCUUAUGAACAAGCUCUCAAAUCAAACCCGGUUUUAGCAAAAAUGGCUAUUAGUGGUAUUGUCUACUCUAUAGGGGAUUGGAUUGCACAAUGUUAUGAAGGAAAACCGAUUUUUGAGUUUGACCGGACACGCACGUUUAGAUCAGGCCUUGUUGGAUUUACUCUUCAUGGAUCUCUUUCUCAUUAUUAUUACCAAUUCUGCGAGGCUCUUUUUCCUUUUGAAGAUUGGUGGGUGGUGCCUGCCAAAGUUGCCUUUGAUCAAACAGUGUGGGCGGCAAUUUGGAACAGCAUCUAUUUUGUGGUGUUAGGCUUUCUGCGUUUUGAGUCUCCGGCCAAUGUUUUUAGUGAGCUGACGGCUACGUUUUGGCCUAUGUUGACCGCAGGAUGGAAGCUUUGGCCAUUUGCUCAUUUGAUCACUUACGGCGUUGUCCCUCUAGAACAAAGACUCCUUUGGGUAGAUUGCGUGGAGCUCAUCUGGGUUACGAUACUUUCUACUUACUCAAAUGAGAAAUCAGAAGUUCGGACUUCUGAGGCGGCAAUAGAUGCAACCUUUAAUUCUUCAAGCAAUCCUACUGAGGAGUAACUGAAUAGGAAUAUCAUGAAUUGCUCAGAACGAUUUGCGACAAUUAUCCCAAUAUUGAUCAACCACGGUCAACCUUCUGCUUCUUGAAGGCAUACAUAUUUCCCCGGGAAUACUCAACCGACCAGCAAGAAUCGCCAAAGCGAGAAUUAAUACUUUGUUAUACUGAUAUGUAUCUUAGUAGUCUGUUACAGUCAGAUAUUUCGCCUGCCUGUAUCAGGCAAACUAAUAAAAUGUACUGAACACGAAAGAAAUACAUAUAUAGCUUCUUCAACAUAAACCCGCCAUCUUAGCCAACAAGUAACCAACGACUCAGUAAGGUAUACGGAUUUGAAGGUUACCGAGACAUUAGUUUCAGGAUCUAAUUAACUAAAAAAGGUAAAAGCGACUUAACCUACUUUAAGACAAAGUUUUGAGAUCUAAUUAACUAAAAAAACUAAAAGUGAUUUAUUUGACUCGGAGACACAAAUUUGAGUGCUGAGUUAAUCCUUUACUCUUUAAAUUUUAGGCAAAGUUAGUAUUUCUUUAAUAUUAAUUCAAUAAAAUAACAAUAUUAAAAAAAACAGACUCGAUCUAAAAUCAAACUUUCAGAUCCCCAAAUUUAAAAUCUUAUUCCCAAAACCUAGAUAUCCCUCACAAAUAACAUUUGAAAAAAAAAAAUCAAUUCCAAUUUUUAUGCUAAAAAAAUGGCUAAACUAGAAGCAAUGGAUGAUGAAGAACCAAAGCAAAAGAGUGACAAAAUCAAAAGCCAAAGCAAAAGAAAUCAUGGGUCCACUAAGUUGUUUGUUUUUAUAGAUUACUUAUUCAUCUUCAUCUUUCUUGUUUUCCUGUGCUUCAUUCUCUUCAAGAUUGUUGGUGUUUAAUUAUUAAAUUCCCUUUUUUUCUCAGCUUCACAUUGUUUUUGCCAGGAUGUUGUGAGACAAUGCAGUUCUUCUGUUUGGAAGUUCUCACUCGGAGCAUUUGCAUGUUUUGGCUAUAUUGAAAUCAGAUAAUGUUUCAAAAAUAUUUUAGUUCGGGAUGAGAAAACAUGUUUUGUAUUUAGUAGAAAAUUUGUAUGUAUUCUUUCUGUUCUCAGAGAUGAACUUUUGCGUGUACGCUAAUUAGUGAAUGAAUAUAUUUGGUAUCUGGUGUUGUAGUUUA